GGGAGGAUACUCAAGUGGUCAACGAGGGCAGACUGUAAAUCUGCUGGCGAAGCCUUCGGGGGUUCGAAUCCUCCUCCUCCCACCA
rnacentral:tRNA from 1 species